UUUGUUUCCUCAUCUGUAAAUUGAGGAGAGAGAAAGGGGGUUAGAUCACUUCUCACCUUCCUCGAAGCUCUGACAUUUGGGAUUCUAAACUAAAGCUUUCAAAUACAACCUCUCAUCCUCAUAGCUCCUCUUUUCAGAGCCUGCUGUAAAAAUAAGUCUUCCGUGAGACAGCCCUCACACACCGAAUGCCGGGUACAAACGCCCCAUGGUCUUUCCAGAAUCCAUAGCUCAGUCACCUGUUAAGGAAUUGACGUGGGCUUUUCAUUCUAAAAAAGAACAGCUGGUGAAAGAGGCCCAGAAAUCAGGAUUUUAAAAAGAUUCCCAGGUGAUUCUAAUGUGCAGCCAAGGUUGAGAACCACUGACCUACAGGCUGCCCAACCCUCCGUGUUGAGAAGUUCCCUUUGGGGUCGGCGAUAGCCUCCUGACAUGAACAGACACCUGGGAGGGUCUGCCGGGCUCCUUAUGACAA